GUAUUUUAUGCCCAUUUACAAGUUCCUUGUUUAUACCCUUUAAUGAGUGAAAAACAAAAUAUACUUUCAAACAAACGAUUUGUCGAUUGCAGUAUAUUUGCUAGUUUGUUAAAAUAUUUUAAAAUAUUACGAAAUAUACUAUUACGCGCGGUACCCUGUCAUGAAUGGCCAAGGCUUACACAAAAGCCAACAGGUUUUAGGAGCUGUUCCAUCAUGUGGUGAUUCCCAAGACAAGGAUUGCCAAAAUCGCAGAAGAACCUUCAUGAGGAUUAAUAGUAUCAUCGGACUGCGGUAAACAUUUGAUGCUGCUCAUGAUAAAGGGGAACAACGAUAUGCUGCUGUAUUCAGCCAGACUGAUCCGACAAUGUUACAGGAAAAUCGGACUUUGAAAGUGAUUACAAUGCCGCAGUACGAGGAUAGUGAUGGAUUGGUCCGCG